rnacentral:sRNA from 1 species
GCCAGGAGAGGUGGCACACACCUGUAAUCCCAGUGGCUUGGAGGCUGAAGCAGGAGGAUCAUGAGUUCAAAGACAGUCUCAACAACUUAGUGAGACCCUGAUUCAA